UGGGGAAUAUUGCACAAUGGGCGCAAGCCUGAUGCAGCAACGCCGCGUGAAGGAAGAAGGGUUUCGGCUCGUAAACUUCUUUAGGCAGGGACGAAGAAAGUGACGGUACCUGCAGAAUAAGCCCCGGCUAACUACGUGCCAGCAGCCGCGGUAAUACGUAGGGGGCGAGCGUUAUCCGGAAUUACUGGGUGUAAAGGGUGAGUAGGCGGUUUCGUAAGUCAUAUGUGAAAUCCCUGGGCUUAACCCAGGGACUGCAUAAGAAACUAUGGGACUAGAGUACAGGAGAGGUAAGCGGAAUUCCUAGUGUAGCGGUGAAAUGCGUAGAUAUUAGGAAGAACACCAGUGGCGAAGGCGGCUUACUGGACUGAAACUGACGCUGAGUCACGAAAGCGUGGGGAGCGAACA
rnacentral:rRNA from 1 species